rnacentral:lncRNA from 1 species
CACUGAGCUGGGCCAACAGCGGCCUGUGGGUAGAGCUAGGCUUCCUAGACAGGCCUUCACCUCUGGUCACACUCCCUUUCCAGGUCUGGUAAGAGAGCAGGUCAGCCCAUAUCUGCGCCAGCCCCUUCUCUUGCCGUGGUAAGGUAGACCACACUCAUGGACACCUUCACUCAAACCGUGCCUCAGUGGAACCCGUUUUCACCACGUGCCUCACCCAUGACAGAGUGGAAGUCAUACCCCCAGACUGGAAGCCCCACAAUAAUAGAGAUCCCAGAAUUAGAAUCCUGAAGACAGAUGGAAGCCUUGGGAAUCAAAUCCCUGGAAGGAGGAAAGACGAAGACCCACGAACCCCCUGGAAGUCAGAAAUCCACAUGGAGGGUACAAGCUCCUGACUCAGUCCAGACCCCUUCCCCCCCGCCUGGGGUCAGGGCUGGACAGGGAGGAGAAGCGAGCUCCUUGCAAGACGAGUUGGGGACAAGAUAGCUAGUGACCCUGGCCUUGGCUGACCCGAAAGAGGCCUGGAGACAUCUGUCCUCAAAGGAUUGUCCACUUCCGGUGACUCCCUGCUGCUGAUAAUAGGGCCCAUGUUUCCCAGAAGGCCCGAGGUUAUCCCAAGACUGCUUCUCUCCCUUCACCUCCCAUGGCUUCAUUCCUGAAGAGCCUGUGAUCACUUAGGGUCAGAAAUAGACGGGUAAGGAAGGACCAACUCCCCCACAAACUCAACUAUGGUGACUAGGAAGACCUAGACAAUUUAAAAAUCUGGAGACUUACUGCCACAGACACCCAGGACCAGGGAAUAGGCAGAGGCAGAAGAGGAAUUCCAAGACAGAAAAUUGAGUUAAAUUCAGUCCAACAGACAUUUAUUAGCGCCUACUGUGUGCCAGGCCCAGAGGGAACAUUGUGUUCAAAAGCGCAGACGCCUCCCAGGCUUUUGGCAUGGGUGACUGGGAGACGAUGGUGCCAUUCACAAAGCCUUGACAUGUUCGGCCGAAGGGUCUGUGGGAUGAUGGGUAGGAAGGGACAAGUCUAGGGAGG